rnacentral:rRNA from 1 species
GAUGAACGCUGGCGGCGUGCCUAAUACAUGCGAGUCGAGCGAACAGACGAGGAGCUUGCUCCUCUGACGUUAGCGGCGGACGGGUGAGUAACACGUGGAUAACCUACCUAUAAGACUGGGAUAACUUCGGGAAACCGGAGCUAAUACCGGAUAAUAUAUUGAACCGCAUGGUUCAAUAGUGAAAGACGGUUUUGCUGUCACUUAUAGAUGGAUCCGCGCCGCAUUAGCUAGUUGGUAAGGUAACGGCUUACCAAGGCAACGAUGCGUAGCCGACCUGAGAGGGUGAUCGGCCACACUGGAACUGAGACACGGUCCAGACUCCUACGGGAGGCAGCAGUAGGGAAUCUUCCGCAAUGGGCGAAAGCCUGACGGAGCAACGCCGUGUGAGUGAUGAAGGUCUUCGGAUCGUAAAACUCUGUUAUUAGGGAAGAACAAAUGUGUAAGUAACUAUGCACGUCUUGACGGUACCUAAUCAGAAAGCCACGGCUAACUACGUG